rnacentral:misc_RNA from 1 species
GUGUAAAAUUGGACUGUAGCAAGACCGCAGCUUAGGUUAGGUUAUGUUACUCGAGCGUUGGAGUAACUGUGAGAAUUUCUUAUCUUUUAUAAAAGAAAAUUAAUUUAUUCUAUUUAUUGUGAACUGUAUUCAGAUAAACGCACGUGCGUAUUAUAGUUGCAAUUUGGCAAACGACUAGCUUGCAGAUAUGGACGACAAACUUCGACAAAUGGAAGAUGAGAUGAACAGAUUUGAAGCUGAAAUUGGAGGACAGCUUGUAACACCAAUUGUAAGACCAGUAAUCGGUGCAAAUACAUACAACCAGGUUGCUAGGCAAUUAGAGCAACAUGAACUUCCUACCCCAGUAGUUGCAGCAGCUGCGGCAGCGACACUAGCGUUUCCUCCGAUGAUUGGCUUUGCACCACCACCGCCACCUCCUCCUCCUCCUCCACCACCACCAAUGCUGAUUCCUCAGCAAGUAGCUCGACAAGGUACAGUUCCUAUCACAACAUAUUCGUCGCCCGCACAAAUAAGCAAUCCAUAUAUGUCAAAUAUGGUGGAUCCAUGUUUAAGUGCAACACCAAAAACAUACGAUUCUUCAUCAGCGCCAAUGAUUCAUCCAGAAAUUAUCGAACAGAUUAUCAACACAAAAAUUCCUGAAGACGAAGGUAAAAAAAAACCAAAAGUUAAGGGUGUCAGCACAGCGGCUGAACUAGCUAUUAGUCAAGGAAAAGCAAGUUCCAUUAUGGCUAACGCUAGUGCAGAGGAGAGUCAUCCCAAAGGUAAAGGAAAGAAAAAUAAGAAGAUUAUAAGAACAGCCGGUGGACAAACGUGGGAAGAUCCUUCAUUGUUAGAAUGGGACGAAGAUGAUUUCAGAAUAUUUUGCGGAGAUCUUGGAAACGAUGUCACUGACGAAAUGUUAGUAAGAGUAUUUGGAAAAUAUCCCAGUUUUCAAAAAGCGAAGGUGGUCAGAGACAAACGUACAAAUAAAACCAAAGGUUUUGGAUUUGUAUCCUUUAAGGAUCCACAAGAUUUCAUCAAGGCAAUGAAGGAAAUGAAUGGUCGAUACGUGGGAUCGCGUCCUAUAAAACUUCGAAAGAGUUCCUGGAAACAAAGAAAUCUAGAGACAGUGCGCAAGAAAGAAAAGGAGAAGCAAACGUUGAUCGGCUUGCUUACUGGUCGAUGAUGAAAUUCUCAUCGUUAUAAUCCUGUUCAUCAACAAAAUUACAAAUUAACAAUUGUUUUGAUAAUGUGAGAAGAGAGAAACGUACCAGACGAAUCGUUGUGAAUCAUAGUGAUGAUAUUCAAUUUCAUCACCGAUUAUUUCGCAAGAAUUAACACCAAUAAACAUUACACGUGAUGUUUCCGUGCCGAA